UACAGAGGUGGCAAGCGUUGUUCGGAAUUACUGGGCGUAAAGGGCGCGUAGGCGGCCUUGUAAGUCCUGCGUGAAAUCCCCCGGCUCAACUGGGGAACUGCACAGGAGACUGCUUGGCUUGAGUUCGGGAGAGGGAAGCGGAAUUCCGGGUGUAGCGGUGAAAUGCGUAGACAUCUGGAGGAAUACCGGUGGCGAAGGCGGGUCUCUGGGCCGUAACUGACGCUGAGGAGCGAAAGCAUGGGGAGCGAACAGG
rnacentral:rRNA from 1 species